AUACGGAAGGUCCAGGCGUUAUCCGGAUUUAUUGGGUUUAAAGGGAGCGUAGGCUGUUUUUUAAGCGUGUUGUGAAAUGUAGAUGCUUAACAUCUGAAUUGCAGCGCGAACUGGAAGACUUGAGUGCGCGGAAGGUAGGCGGAAUUCGUCGUGUAGCGGUGAAAUGCUUAGAUAUGACGAAGAACUCCGAUUGCGAAGGCAGCUUACCGCAGCGCCACUGACGCUGAUGCUCGAAGGUGCGGGUAUCGAACAGGAUUAGAUACCCUGGUAGUCCGCACAGUAAACGAUGGAUGCUCGCUGUUCGGCCUUUACGGCCGUGUGGCCAAGCGAAAGCGUUAAGCAUCCCACCUGGGGAGUACGCCGGCAACGGUGAA
rnacentral:rRNA from 1 species